rnacentral:rRNA from 1 species
AACGAACGCUGGCUGCAGGCCUAACACAUGCAAGUCGGGCGGACCCUUCGGGUUUAUCUGUGGGCGGGGGUGUAACGCGGGGGAACUUGCCCUUUUCUUCGGAAUCGCCUGGGGAAACGUGGAGUAAUACCGUGUACGCCCCUUGGGGCAAAGAUUGAUCGGCGAAGGUUCGGCCCUCGUUGGAUUAUGUUGUUGGUGGGGUAAUGGCCUCCCAUGCAGACGAUUCAUAGCUGGUUUGAGAGGAUGAUCAGCCACACUGGGACUGAGACACGGCCCAGACUCCUACGGGAAGCAGAGGUGGGGAGUCUUAGCCAAUGGGGGACGCCCUGAUCUAGCCAUGCCGCGUGAGCGAUGAAGGCCUUAGGGUUGUAAAGCUCUUUCGGCGGGGACGAUAAUGACGGUACCCGGAGAAGAAGCCGCGGCUAACUCCGUG